GACGAACGCUGGCGGCGUGCUUAACACAUGCAAGUCGAACGGUGAACCGGGCUUCGGCCCGGGGAUCAGUGGCGAACGGGUGCGUGACACGUGGGCAACCUGCCCCAGACACUGGGAUAACCCCGGGAAACCGGGGCUAAUACCGGAUACUCCGACCGGACCGCAUGAUCCGGCCGGGAAAGCUCCGAGGGUCUGGGAUGGGCCCGCGGCCUGUCAGCUCGUUGGUGGGGUCACGGCCUACCAAGGCGACGACGGGUAGCUGGUCUGAGAGGACGAACAGCCACACUGGAACUGAGAUACGGUCCAGACUGCUACGGGAGGCAGCAGUGGGGACUCUUGCACAAUGGGCGCAAGCCUGAUGCAGCGACGCCGCGUGGGGGACGACGGCCCUCGGGUUGUAAACCCCUUUCGGCAGGGAAGAAGCGCAAGUGACGGUACCUGCAGAAGAAGUCCCGGCUAACUACGUGCCAGCAGCAGCCGCCGUAA
rnacentral:rRNA from 1 species